rnacentral:rRNA from 1 species
UUUUGACACCUUUAAAAAUGGUGCAGAAUAAGGGGUGGGCAAGUCUGGUGUCAGCCGCCGCGGUAAUACCAGCACCCCGAGUGGUCGGGACGAUUAUUGGGCCUAAAGCAUCCGUAGCCGGUUCUGCAAGUCUUCCGUUAAAUCCACCUGCUUAACAGAUGGGCUGCGGAGGAUACUACAGAGCUAGGAGGCGGGAGAGGCAAGCGGUACUCAAUGGGUAGGGGUAAAAUCCUCUGAUCCAUUGAAGACCACCAGUGGCGAAGGCGGCUUGCCAGAACGCGCUCGACGGUGAGGGAUGAAAGCUGGGGGAGCAAACCGGAUUAGAUACCCGGGUAGUCCCAGCUGUAAACGAUGCAGACUCGGUGAUGGGCUGGCUUUGUGCCAACCCAGUGCCGCAGGGAAGCCGUUAAGUCUGCCGCCUGGGGAGUACGGUCGCAAGACUGAAACUUAAAGGAAUUGG